rnacentral:rRNA from 1 species
UACGUAGGGUGCGAGCGUUAAUCAGAAUUACUGGGCGUAAAGCGUGCGCAGGCGGUUCGUUGUGUCGGCGGUGAAAGCCCCGGGCUUAACCUGGGAAUGGCCGUUGAAACUGGCGAACUGGAGUGUGGCAGAGGGGGGUGGAAUUCCGCGUGUAGCAGUGAAAUGCGUAGAGAUGCGGAGGAACACCGAUGGCGAAGGCAGCCCCCUGGGCUAACACUGACGCUCAGGCACGAAAGCGUGGGGAGCAAACAGG